rnacentral:lncRNA from 1 species
CAAAAAAUAAAUAAAUAGACUCUAACGACUUAACACAAAAGGACCUAUCGACCAAUUGACAAUUACACAAAAAUUAGACCAUAAACCUACACUCUACCUAUAAAGAAAACACAAAGAAAACAGGAAAAUGGGCUGACUGCCGCAGAGAACCAAAUACACGCCCCAUCAGAUUUUAAUUUUUCUUCUCCUUCACAUUCCAAAACCUUAGGCAUCAUCUUCUUAACAAAACCAGCUGCAGAUUUUUUUUAAAAAAAGUCAAUCACACUGUUUCCUCUCUGUUUUCAAGCAAAGACCAAAAGACAUUGAACACACAAUACAAAGAGGGGCCGAUCUUCUUCAGCAGACAAAAAUCGGAAGACCCCUCAUAUCGUUUUCCUUCUUCUUCACCUCACAGUAGAUCGGUUUCUGUUUUUUCAUAACCAGAAAUGGCCAGAAACUGGCAAACACUCACAUAUGAACAGUAAAGAGGAACAUAGAGGAAUUCGAUUUGAUUAUUGUCCGUCGAUUGCUGUCUCCGAGGUUUUGUUCGCAGUUCCCAAUUCAAUGGUUGAUUGUUCCAUUCAAUAUAUAUGGAGCUCGUUAUUUGAUUUCCUUGCUUGUAUCACAUCCGGAAAGAAGUUUUAAUUGAAAUCCUCUUAAAGGUUCAUUCUCUUCCCCUCUAUUUCUGUUGGGUAUUGAUGUUAAUACGAUUGGAGCCUAGGCUCAAUUGCGUGAAUUUCCUUUCACACAUGUGCCUUGUUUUACUUUGAUGUCCGAACGUCUAUAUGGAAUCUUUUCAACUCCAACAUGGUUGAUCGAGACUCUAUUUGAUUGUGUGAUUAUGUGAGUUGGUGAGGCAUGUUAGAUUACUGUUAGAAGUAGUUUGAUUAGUUCCCUGUAAAGUGCAAAGCUUCCACGUUCGUGUUAGUUGAUUUGUAAUGGCUUAGAAAAAUUUACAUAUUUCAUAGAUUUGGAUGAAAUCAAAUAUAUACUGUCUUGCUACUAUAGUUUUUCCCUCUUCCUCUAUGUUUGUUGAGAAAUUCAUUAAGUUAAGACACUUCUAAGUCUGUUCCUAGCUUUUAGAAUUUGAAGAUUUGAUUCAUGACUGUUGGUUUAGAUUCGAACACACUGGUUGAAGCAUGAAAGGCUGAAAACAUUGUUUGGGAUUCUCUAUCUGUUGAUGGUCGAUCACUUUUGGCUAAGUUUGCAUGAAAUUAAAAUCUUCAC